rnacentral:rRNA from 1 species
AGCAGCCGCGGUAAUUCCAGCUCCAAUAGCGUAUAUUAAAGUUGUUGCAGUUAAAAAGCUCGUAGUUGAAUUUCGGGAUCAAAUUGUCGGUCGUGCCUCGGUACGCACUGGCGUUAUUGGUUCCUCCCUUCUGAAGAACCGCGAUGUCAUUAAUUUGGUGUCGCGGGGAAUCAGGACUGUUACUUUGAAAAAAUUAGAGUGUUUAAAGCAAGCUCGCGCUUGAAUACAUUAGCAUGGAAUAAUGAAAUAGGACGUUUGAUUCUAUUUUGUUGGUUUCUAGGAUCGACGUAAUGAUUAAUAGGGAUAGUUGGGGGCAUUAGUAUUCAAUUGUCAGAGAUGAAAUUCUUGGAUUUAUUGAAGACUAACUACUGCGAAAGCAUUUGCCAAGGAUGUUUUCAUUAAUCAAGAACGAAAGUUAGGGGAUCGAAGACGAUCAGAUACCGUCGUAGUCUUAACCAUAAACUAUGCCGACUAGGGAUCGGAUGAUGUUAAUUUUUUAAUGACUCAUUCGGCGCCUUAC